rnacentral:rRNA from 1 species
AAUAAGCGGAGGAAAAGAAACUAACAAGGAUUCCCCUAGUAACGGCGAGUGAACCGGGAAGAGCUCAAAUUUGAAAUCUGGCGUGCUCAGUGCGUCCGAGUUGUAAUCUAUAGAGGCGUUUUCCGUGCCGGACUGUGUCUAAGUCCCUUGGAACAGGGUAUCAAAGAGGGUGAUAAUCCCGUACUUGACACAAUGACCGGUGCUCUGUGAUACGUCUUCUACGAGUCGAGUUGUUUGGGAAUGCAGCUCAAAAUGGGUGGUGAGUUCCAUCUAAAGCUAAAUAUUGGCGAGAGACCGAUAGCGAACAAGUACCGUGAGGGAAAGAUGAAAAGCACUUUGGAAAGAGAGUUAAACAGUACGUGAAAUUGUUGAAAGGGAAACGAUUGAAGUCAGUCGUGACUGAGAGGCUCAGCCGGUUCUGCCGGUGUAUUCCCCUCAGUCGGGUCAACAUCAGUUUUGUUCGGUGGAUAAGGGCAGCUGGAAGGUGGCACCUCCGGGUGUGUUAUAGCCAGCUGUCGCAUACAUCGAAUGAGACUGAGGAAUGCAGCUCGCCUUUAUGGCCGGGGUUCGCCGACUACCGAGCUAGGAUGUGACAUAA